CGUGUGAAAAGGGAAGAGAGGAUAUAGCGGCAGGCAAAUCAAAUUCCAAGUUCAACAAGCCUAUUAUACAUUCUUCAAUUGUAUUUGAAGAGGGCUGACUGAGGAAUGGCAGCAGAGCCAAAGGUCUUCUUCACCUCCCCGCUGGUUCUGUUUCAGCUGUAAAGGUGCCUCCCACUACGGCCUGACCAAAGACAGGAAGAGGCGCUCACAAGAUGGCUGUCCAGACGGCUGUGCGAGCCUCACAGCCACGGCUCCCUCCCUAGAGGUUUCUGCAGCUGCCACCAUCUCCUUAAUGACAGACGAGCCUGGCCUAGACAACCCUGCCUACGUGUCCUCGGCGGAGGACGGGCAGCCAGCAAUCAGCCCAGUGGACUCUGGCCGGAGCAACCGAACUAGGGCACGGCCCUUUGAGAGAUCCACUAUUAGAAGCAGAUCAUUUAAAAAAAUAAAUCGAGCUUUGAGUGUUCUUCGAAGGACAAAGAGCGGGAGUGCAGUUGCCAACCAUGCUGACCAGGGCAGGGAAAAUUCUGAAAACACCACUGCCCCUGAAGUCUUUCCAAGGUUGUACCACCUGAUUCCAGAUGGUGAAAUUACCAGCAUCAAGAUCAAUCGAGUAGAUCCC
rnacentral:sRNA from 1 species